AUUGAACGCUGGCGGAAUGCUUUACACAUGCAAGUCGAACGGCAGCACAGGUGCUUGCUCCUGGUGGCGAGUGGCGAACGGGUGAGUAAUGCAUCGGAACGUACCGUGUAGUGGGGGAUAACGCAUCGAAAGGUGUGCUAAUACCGCAUACGUCCUGAGGGAGAAAGUGGGGGAUCGCAAGACCUCACGCUAUACGAGCGGCCGAUGUCCGAUUAGCUAGUUGGUGAGGUAAAGGCUUACCAAGGCGACGAUCGGUAGCUGGUCUGAGAGGACGACCAGCCAGACUGGUACUGAGACACGGCCCAGACUCCUACGGGAGGCAGCAGUGGGGAAUUUUGGACAAUGGGCGAAAGCCUGGUCCAGCCAUUCCGGGUGAGUGAAGCAGGCCUUCGGGUUGUAAAGCUCUUUUGUUAGGGAGGAAAUCCUAGUGGCUAAUAUCCAUUGGGGAUGACAGUACCUAAAGAAUAAGGACCGGCUAACUACGUGCCAGCAGCCGCGGUAA
rnacentral:rRNA from 1 species